rnacentral:rRNA from 1 species
AAGGGGGCUAGCGUUGUUCGGAAUUACUGGGCGUAAAGCGCGCGCAGGCGGUCCUUCAAGUCAGAGGUGAAAGCCCAGAGCUCAACUCUGGAACGGCCUUUGAGACUAGAGGACUAGGGUACGGGAGAGGUGAGUGGAAUUCCGAGUGUAGAGGUGAAAUUCGUAGAUAUUCGGAAGAACACCAGUGGCGAAGGCGGCUCACUGGCCCGUUACCGACGCUCAGGCGCGACAGCGUGGGGAGCAAACAGGAUUAGAUACCCUGGUAGUCCACGCCGUAAACGAUGGAUGCUAGCCGUUGGUAAGCAUGCUUAUCAGUGGCGCAGCUAACGCAUUAAGCGUCCCGCCUGGGGAGUACGGCCGCAAGGUUG